rnacentral:rRNA from 1 species
UACGAAGGGGGCUAGCGUUGCUCGGAAUCACUGGGCGUAAAGGGUGCGUAGGCGGGGCUUUAAGUCAGGGGUGAAAUCCUGGAGCUCAACUCCAGAACUGCCUUUGAUACUGAAGAGCUUGAGUUCGGGAGAGGUGAGUGGAACUGCGAGUGUAGAGGUGAAAUUCGUAGAUAUUCGCAAGAACACCAGUGGCGAAGGCGGCUCACUGGCCCGAUACUGACGCUGAGGUGCGAAAGCGUGGGGAGCAAACAGG